UACGUAGGGGGCAAGCGUUGUCCGGAAUCAUUGGGCGUAAAGAGCGCGUAGGCGGUCCGAUAAGUCCCGUGUGAAAGCCCCCGGCUCAACUGGGGAACUGCACGGGAAACUGACGGACUUGAGUUCGGGAGAGGGAAGCGGAAUUCCGGGUGUAGCGGUGAAAUGCGUAGAUAUCCGGAGGAACACCGGUGGCGAAGGCGGCUUCCUGGACCGACACUGACGCUGAGGCGCGAAAGCUAGGGGAGCAAACGGG
rnacentral:rRNA from 1 species